AAACAGUUCCCCACAAAGAGCACCAGCUUACCCUGGGGUAAAAGCUUACGAAGCUAAUGUUCUCAUAAAGAGUCGUUAAAAAUUAGUGAUGGAGGAAAUUUAUGAGGUCAUUCCGCUUUCCCUUUGCCAACCAAGAAAGAACGCUCCCCAAAAUGGUCCCUGAAAUUGGAUUUGGCCUUGGCCAUGAGCAUAAUGUACAACUAGAAAAUGAGGGUGAGAGGAAGAGCUGCAGCCACCCUACACAACAGCAAACGACAGAAAACAGCCAGGAAGUGUAAUUAUGCAAGUGUUCCUCUGAAAAUCUUGAGAGAUCUUAGAAAGCUUGGCAGUGCGUGGACACAGAGGGAAGCAGCAACUUUGGAAGAGAAUGUAAAACAAGGCAAAGGAAGAUGGACUAGGGAAGAGAGAAAAGAAAGCAUUUCUUAUCUUUGCUUGGGGAACACAUGUUCCCCGAGGCUCUGAGAGAACCGAGCUUUGUUCACAUCUGUAUAUACUAAUGUCAGUGAGCUUGGCUCCAUCUUAGAAGACCAAAUGGCUUUGUGAGUGCAAGGGAAGAGUGGGCAUACCAAGUUAUUGACCACACAUGAGGGGGUGGGUGAAGCCAGCUGCAUUUUAGACUUGAUAGAUGUCUUGGAGAACUUUCCAAUGUGUUUGGUUCAGCAAACCCCAAAACACAUGUCACUAAGGAACUUAUUUAUUUGCCUUUAUUUUAAACCCCUGUG